UACGUAGGGUGCAAGCGUUAAUCGGAAUUACUGGGCGUAAAGCGUGCGCAGGCGGUUUUGUAAGUCUGUCGUGAAAUCCCCGGGCUCAACCUGGGAAUGGCGAUGGAGACUGCAAGGCUAGAGUUUGGCAGAGGGGGGUAGAAUUCCACGUGUAGCAGUGAAAUGCGUAGAUAUGCGGAGGAACACCGAUGGCGAAGGCAAUCCCCUGGACCUGUACUGACGCUCAUGCACGAAAGCGUGGGGAGCAAACAGG
rnacentral:rRNA from 1 species